GUGCACGUUUUUUCUGCUGAUGAUCGGUCAAACCCAUAUUCAGAUCAAAUAUAUUUGGAGCUUGAAAAGUUGAACUAUAAAAUAGUACAAGAGGGAUAUGUGCCUGAUAUGAAUUCUGUUCUGCAUGAUGUUGAGGAUUCAGAGAAAAUAAAGAUGCUUAAUCAUCAUAGUGAAAAGCUUGCUAUUGCUUUUGGGUUGAUAUUUAUUCCUCCUGGUUUGCCCAUACGAGUAGUUAAAAAUUUAAGAGUUUGUGGAGAUUGUCACAAUGCAACUAAGUAUAUAUCUAAGAUCACCCAGAGGGAGAUUCUUGUAAGGGAUACUGCCCGAUUCCACUUGUUUAAAGAUGGAAUAUGUUCAUGUGGAGACUUUUGGUGACAGGUCCAGUUGUCAUAUUCUGGAGUCUAAAGCGAUUAGAAAACUAUGCCAUAAGCACCGAUGAGUGUUUGACCAAGCAUUGAAGUAUUUUGACAUAGGCGCAUCUUCCAUAUGAAAUAUCUGUUAAAAACUCACUAUAGCAUGUACAUCAAUUCUUUGUGGCAGGAUUGGUGGGAUAGUUUUGUCAGUUUAAACAGAUUUUUUGGGAACAAUGGAGGCAACUAUUAUUUUGUUGUUGAAGUAGUUCCUUUUAGAGAAGUGGCUUUUAUCUUCUGUGUUUUUUCCCAUUAUUUCAAUCGGAUGCAAGAAUCCGAAAAUCUAUUUUUCAUAUGGAACAGACGCGAGAACAAGCAAUGGCAUUACAAGUCACCAUCGUAUAAGACUGCCUAAGGUUUUGCUCAUUUGUCCUUGUCUGAUUUAGGGUUGUCUCUAUGUUUGCCCUUAUUUGUGUAUGUGUGCCUUAUUUGUCACUGUUUGUUUUUGUGUUUGUUUGUAUCUUUAUCUAUCUGUGCUUGCAUCUCUCUCACUCCCUCUGCGUGGGUGUUUCUGUGACUUUUGUGGGAGUUUGCUUGUGUGUGUGGUCAUGCCUCUAUGUCUAUAAAUGCAUUCGUGUUUAUGUUUGUGGGUGCUACUAUAUAAUUGAAUUUCGAGAAAGGGAUGUUUUGCUGUUAUUAAAUGUUAAUGACCCUUAGCUGAAUUAGAAUGUUUGAGUCGAUCCUUGAUCAAUUUUUACUUAGAUGGUACGAUAUAGUUGCCCCUAAAUUUGACUAACAAAUGAAUUUUUUAAGCAUUGGAAAAUGUGAUGUUUUUGUCUAGUUGUUGUUUGUUCAAGAAUGCCCCAACUUGUUGAACGAAAAUUGGGUAUAUAAAUUCUAGUUACCUGAUUCAAUUUGGGUGUCACUAUGACAUGUAUUUUGAAAAAGAGAUGUUAUGCUAUUUUUUAGCCUUAUUGAACCUAAAUGGAAUCUUUAUGUUAUAGAUGUCUUUGAUUGACCUUGACCCUGAAAAGUUCAAAUUGUGGGGGCCACUAUCAUUGAAAACUUGAUAUCUUUUGUAUUCUUGCACACAGUUUUUCUUUUUGAUUAUUUUAAAGUAUUGGAGUUAUGCUCUAUCUUUACCUGUGUUUGUGUAUCACAAUUAAAUUUUUGGAUUUGAUGCUCACAUUAAAGUUUCUGCUAAACAUUUUGUGCAUCUUCUUUUUUUUUUUUUCUUCGAAUUUAUGGGAGCGGCGAUGCAUUGGUGACAGUGGAGGUUGUUGGGAAACAUCUGUAGUUGAUAUAUUCAAACAAGAUGGAGAACUUUUCUCUUAUAUCCUAAUUGAAUCUUUGCAAAUGUGUACCUUUGUAAAGCAAGAUGCAACUGGGAAUGUAGUGAUAUAUUUCAAGGAGUGCUGUUUGGUGGUUAACCGGAUUGACUCUGGAGCCCUCCCGGCACAAAAACGCAAAAGAAAACAAUAAGUGGAUAAAAGGAUUUUUAGAGAUAAAGUGAAUGAAAAGAAGAAUGAUGGAAAGGAUACAAAUCUGUUGUGGUGGGACUUGGGAUAUGAUUCUCGACAAGAAGUACAAUAAGUGCAAUCAAAUAUAAAAUAACUUUUGAUAUCCUCAAAGAUUGGGUAAUGUUAAGCUUUUGUUAUUAUUCUUUGUUCAUUAGUGUGUUGAUCAUGAUUUUAUAGAAUAUGUAGUUAUCGUAUUUUUGUUAAAUAUAAUUUUUUUAAAACAUUAGUAUUGGUUAAAAUAUUAU